ACUAUAGAGGAAGAAUGUCGCUGGCGUCGCUGCCGAAACAUCUCUUGCUGGUGGAGAUAGGCCGGGCUAUAAGUGUCAAAGCGAAAAAGUAUGCAGUUUGACAGAUAGAUACCCGACAUGUUUGCGAGCGAGAACAAAGGGAACAGCAGCGACAUUCGUCCUCUAUAGUUUAUUAACUCUAUUCCCAAAACAAGUCUCGCUUCUUCCGGACGGCACGCAUCGGGAUUAGCUUUGUUGUGACCGUUGUAACAUCUGUUUUACCCAGUUUUGUUCCAGCUCCGUUGCAUUUGCAUUGAGAAUACCCUGUAGGUAGAUAAAAUGCUCAACCUGUGAUUUGAAUCUGAGGUGCAGCCACCAAAACUUUGGGUUUCCAGCGGAUGUUCCGCUGCGCUUGAUUCCGGGAUGUUGGAGGGCGAAAGUAAUCCGGCCGCUGGCAGUGAGGAGAGCCCAUUCAGGGGUACCUUCCGGGAACGAAUGAAUGCAGUUGGAACACCAAGGAUGCCGAGGGACGGCUGGCCCAUCGGAACAAGAAUUCGAUCUUCCCGGAAACGAUAGCCACCAGCCAGAUGUUGAUCCUGCGGUACCUUACGCCAAUGAGAGAUUUGUGCUCAUUCUGCGAAUGG